GUGUGAGUGUGUAUGCAUGCAUGUCUAUGAUUCAACAGCUACUCACUGAACAUUGAGUGAAGAUGUCCACAUGCAACUCACACCAUUUGAAAGACUCCUAGAGACAAAGCCUAGACCUUUCUAUGAGAUAUGGAAUGUGAAUGCCAAAUUGGAACUUCCUUCUUGAGCCCCCAGGGGGGUCUUUCCAACUAAUAUUUGCCAGAACAUGCUUCUGGAAGUGAAGGAAAUAGAUUCUGGAGUAAAACUAACCUUUUUAGAUAAGGUAUAGAGUUUCUAACAGUGAUUGGAGAGAUUGCCAAGGAGAAACUCUUAGAAAUUUGAGGAUAGAAUGAGGUUGGGAACUGGGACACUUCCCCAAGAGGACCCUCAAGAAAGGUAGAAAUUUCCCUUUGGGCAAUGGAAAAACCAUAUCUAACACACCCACUUACAAUUCUUUCUCUGUUAAGGUUAGUUUUCAGAUCCCCGCACUAUUUUCCUAAAGGGACCUGAAAUGCUUGAACAUGACUUUAAAAAGUCAAAAUACUCUUGCAUAUAUUUUUUCUAAUGUACAUUGUUGCCUGCCAUGCCUCUUCUUUCCAUAUACUAAAUUAGAUACCCUGAAAAAUAAUGUUUUAAAAAUUAAACCUUACCAUAAAAAAGGGAUGGAAAAAAGAAUUAGAAAGAAAUAGUGUAGAAUGUUAAAACUUUUGUUCCCAGAACUCACUGAACUUAUUUCUCUUCCUAGCCUUCUACUGUUGAACAUGGGCUAUCUGAUAAGCACUGUUAGAAGCUUGGAGAUUUUGAUGCCAAUGAAUCCAAGAUUUCAAGUCAUUUCAAGAAGAAUAUGAAAUGGUUUUCAUUUGGGAAAUUUUGUUGGAAAAAGUACAUGUUUAUAGAUAACCUGGGAUAAACAUAUGGUUUUCUUCAAUCAACCUAACAGAAAAGAUAACUACAGCAGAGUCUGAGGAAGAGAGAAGCUUGUCCUAAAGCAAAAGAGAGGAAUUCCCAACACUCUCAUGGGAAGCUUUGGCAUAGCAAAUAGGUAAGCUUAGAGCCUUUCCUAUUUAACAACUAUAUCAUAACAAAAGAGAUCACGUUUCUUAAAAAAGUCACUUAAUCUUUCCUGUUAACAUUUAAUUCUGGGUAGUACUUAAUGAAAUAUUACAUAUUUGUUUUCAAAUUUUUAACACUUUCAUUACUCUUUUAGGAUGUUUAGAUUCUGUUUGGGGUUUUAUUUUGUUGUUUUGUUUAAAGUAUCUCCAUCUAGUA